GCAGGAGUGGCGGAAUUGGUAGACGCGCUGGACUCAAAAUCCAGUGAACUUAACAUUCGUGAGGGUUCGAGUCCCUCCUUCUGUA
rnacentral:tRNA from 1 species